rnacentral:rRNA from 1 species
UACGAAGGGAGCUAGCGUUGUUCGGAAUCACUGGGCGUAAAGCGCACGUAGGCGGAUUUGCCAGUCAGGGGUGAAAUCCCGGGGCUCAACCUCGGAACUGCCUUUGAUACAGCAAGUCUUGAGUUCGAGAGAGGUGGGUGGAAUUCCUAGUGUAGAGGUGAAAUUCGUAGAUAUUAGGAAGAACACCGGUGGCGAAGGCGGCCCACUGGCUCGACACUGACGCUGAGGUGCUAAAGCGUGGGGAGCAAACAGG